rnacentral:rRNA from 1 species
UUAAGCGACUAAGCGUACACGGUGGAUGCCCUGGCAGUCAGAGGCGAUGAAGGACGUGCUAAUCUGCGAAAAGCGUCGGUAAGGUGAUAUGAACCGUUAUAACCGGCGAUGUCCGAAUGGGGAAACCCAGUGUAAUUCGUCACACUAUCGUUAACUGAAUACAUAGGUUAACGAGGCGAACCGGGGGAACUGAAACAUCUAAGUACCCCGAGGAAAAGAAAUCAACCGAGAUUCCCCCAGUAGCGGCGAGCGAACGGGGAGCAGCCCAGAGUCUGAAUCAGCUUGUGUGUUAGUGGAACGGUCUGGAAAGUCCGACGGUACAGGGUGAUAGUCCCGUACACCAAAAUGCACAGGCUGUGAACUCGAAGAGUAGGGCGGGACACGUGGUAUCCUGUCUGAAUAUGGGGGGACCAUCCUCCAAGGCUAAAUACUCCUGACUGACCGAUAGUGAACCAGUACCGUGAGGGAAAGGCGAAAAGAACCCCGGCGAGGGGAGUGAAAAAGAACCUGAAACCGUGUACGUACAAGCAGUGGGAGCACCUUCGGGUGUGACUGCGUACCUUUUGUAUAAUGGGUCAGCGACUUAUAUUCUGUAGCAAGGUUAACCGUAUAGGGGAGCCGCAGGGAAACCGAGUCUUAACUGGGCGUUAAGUUGCAGGGUAUAGACCCGAAACCCGGUGAUCUAGCCAUGGGCAGGUUGAAGGUUGGGUAACACUAACUGGAGGACCGAACCGACUAAUGUUGAAAAAUUAGCGGAUGACUUGUGGCUGGGGGUGAAAGGCCAAUCAAACCGGGAGAUAGCUGGUUCUCCCCGAAAGCUAUUUAGGUAGCGCCUCGUGAACUCAUCUUCGGGGGUAGAGCACUGUUUCGGCUAGGGGGUCAUCCCGACUUACCAACCCGAUGCAAACUACGAAUACCGAAGAAUGUUAUCACGGGAGACACACGGCGGGUGCUAACGUCCGUCGUGAAGAGGGAAACAACCCAGACCGCCAGCUAAGGUCCCAAAGUCAUGGUUAAGUGGGAAACGAUGUGGGAAGGCACAGACAGCCAGGAUGUUGGCUUAGAAGCAGCCAUCAUUUAAAGAAAGCGUAAUAGCUCACUGGUCGAGUCGGCCUGCGCGGAAGAUGUAACGGGGCUAAACCAUGCACCGAAGCUGCGGCAGCGACACUAUGUGUUGUUGGGUAGGGGAGCGUUCUGUAAGCCUGCGAAGGUGUGCUGUGAGGCAUGCUGGAGGUAUCAGAAGUGCGAAUGCUGACAUAAGUAACGAUAAAGCGGGUGAAAAGCCCGCUCGCCGGAAGACCAAGGGUUCCUGUCCAACGUUAAUCGGGGCAGGGUGAGUCGACCCCUAAGGCGAGGCCGAAAGGCGUAGUCGAUGGGAAACAGGUUAAUAUUCCUGUACUUGGUGUUACUGCGAAGGGGGGACGGAGAAGGCUAUGUUAGCCGGGCGACGGUUGUCCCGGUUUAAGCAUGUAGGCUGGUUGUCCAGGCAAAUCCGGAUAAUCAAGGCUGAGGUGUGAUGACGAGGCACUACGGUGCUGAAGUAACAAAUGCCCUGCUUCCAGGAAAAGCCUCUAAGCAUCAGGUAACAUCAAAUCGUACCCCAAACCGACACAGGUGGUCAGGUAGAGAAUACCAAGGCGCUUGAGAGAACUCGGGUGAAGGAACUAGGCAAAAUGGUGCCGUAACUUCGGGAGAAGGCACGCUGGUGUGUAGGUGAAGCCCCUGCGGGUGGAGCUGAGACCAGUCGAAGAUACCAGCUGGCUGCAACUGUUUAUUAAAAACACAGCACUGUGCAAACACGAAAGUGGACGUAUACGGUGUGACGCCUGCCCGGUGCCGGAAGGUUAAUUGAUGGGGUUAUCCGUAAGGAGAAGCUCUUGAUCGAAGCCCCGGUAAACGGCGGCCGUAACUAUAACGGUCCUAAGGUAGCGAAAUUCCUUGUCGGGUAAGUUCCGACCUGCACGAAUGGCGUAAUGAUGGCCAGGCUGUCUCCACCCGAGACUCAGUGAAAUUGAACUCGCUGUGAAGAUGCAGUGUACCCGCGGCAAGACGGAAAGACCCCGUGAACCUUUACUAUAGCUUGACACUGAACAUUGAGCCUUGAUGUGUAGGAUAGGUGGGAGGCUUUGAAGCGUGGACGCCAGUCUGCGUGGAGCCAACCUUGAAAUACCACCCUUUAAUGUUUGAUGUUCUAACGUUGGCCCCUGACCGGGGUUGCGGACAGUGUCUGGUGGGUAGUUUGACUGGGGCGGUCUCCUCCCAAAGCGUAACGGAGGAGCACGAAGGUUAGCUAAUCCUGGUCGGACAUCAGGAGGUUAGUGCAAUGGCAUAAGCUAGCUUGACUGCGAGCGUGACGGCGCGAGCAGGUGCGAAAGCAGGUCAUAGUGAUCCGGUGGUUCUGAAUGGAAGGGCCAUCGCUCAACGGAUAAAAGGUACUCCGGGGAUAACAGGCUGAUACCGCCCAAGAGUUCAUAUCGACGGCGGUGUUUGGCACCUCGAUGUCGGCUCAUCACAUCCUGGGGCUGAAGUAGGUCCCAAGGGUAUGGCUGUUCGCCAUUUAAAGUGGUACGCGAGCUGGGUUUAGAACGUCGUGAGACAGUUCGGUCCCUAUCUGCCGUGGGCGCUGGAGAAUUGAGGGGGGCUGCUCCUAGUACGAGAGGACCGGAGUGGACGCAUCACUGGUGUUCGGGUUGUCAUGCCAAUGGCACUGCCCGGUAGCUAAAUGCGGAAGAGAUAAGUGCUGAAAGCAUCUAAGCACGAAACUUGCCCCGAGAUGAGUUCUCCCUGAGACUUUAAGUCUCCUGAAGGAACGUUAAAGACGAUGACGUUGAUAGGCCGGGUGUGUAAGCGCAGCGAUGCGUUGAGCUAACCGGUACUAAUGAACCGUGAGGCUUAACCUU